UCCUUUUCUUUAGAAUGGGUUCUUACUAGUUUUCUUUGGCUAUAUCUGCUUUAUCUGCUGAAACUUCAUUAUCAUCCAAUGCUGAGAAAGAUGAAAGUGACAAUAAUUCUCUGACUCAAUAAAAAAAGAAAUCUACGUCAAAGAAGUGGAUG